AUUUGCUGUUAAUUAACAGCACUCAAAGCUCGUUGCUCGGCUUGGAGCUUAGACAUGUCUCAAAGCUCGGAUCAGUCUCUCGGCGAUCGUUAACGAAGUAGCGUGCGCAACGGUCGGCUUUACUUUGCCUUGCACUUGUGUGUGUGUUUAUGAAUAUAUAUGUGUAUGUGUGCGUUUGCUACUGGCCUGAGCAGCAGCCGCAGCAGCUGAUGUGGAACAUGGCUCACAAAUUGGCUGGCCAAUAAAUUAACAUAGGAGCUGAACAAGCCAAACCGAAAGUGUCACGAUCAACAACAACAACAACAA